rnacentral:rRNA from 1 species
CAGCAGCCGCCGCGGUAACACAGAGGGUGCGAGCGUUAAUCGGAUUUACUGGGCGUAAAGCGUGCGUAGGCGGCUUCUUAAGUCGGAUGUGAAAUCCCUGAGCUUAACUUAGGAAUUGCAUUCGAUACUGGGAAGCUAGAGUAUGGGAGAGGAUGGUAGAAUUCCAGGUGUAGCGGUGAAAUGCGUAGAGAUCUGGAGGAAUACCGAUGGCGAAGGCAGCCAUCUGGCCUAAUACUGACGCUGAGGUACGAAAGCAUGGGGAGCAAACAGGAUUAGAUACCCGCGUAGUCCCUGUCUCUUAUAC